CGCAGUGCUACGACAGCUUCGGACUUUUAAUCCGUAGGUUGUGGGUUCGAGUCCCACGCGACCCGCCA
rnacentral:tRNA from 1 species